UGAGGGAAAGGCGAAAAGAACCCCGGCGAGGGGAGUGAAAAAGAACCUGAAACCGUGUACGUACAAGCAGUGGGAGCACCCUUUGGGGUGUGACUGCGUACCUUUUGUAUAAUGGGUCAGCGACUUAUAUUCUGUAGCAAGGUUAACCGUAUAGGGGAGCCGUAGGGAAACCGAGUCUUAACCGGGCGUUAAGUUGCAGGGUAUAGACCCGAAACCCGGUGAUCUAGCCAUGGGCAGGUUGAAGGUUGGGUAACACUAAC
rnacentral:rRNA from 1 species